rnacentral:rRNA from 1 species
GACGAACGCUGGCGGCGUGCUUAACACAUGCAAGUCGAACGGAAAGGCCCUGCUUUUGUGGGGUGCUCGAGUGGCGAACGGGUGAGUAACACGUGAGUAACCUGCCCUUGACUUUGGGAUAACUUCAGGAAACUGGGGCUAAUACCGGAUAGGAGCUCCUGCUGCAUGGUGGGGGUUGGAAAGUUUCGGCGGUUGGGGAUGGACUCGCGGCUUAUCAGCUUGUUGGUGGGGUAGUGGCUUACCAAGGCUUUGACGGGUAGCCGGCCUGAGAGGGUGACCGGCCACAUUGGGACUGAGAUACGGCGCAGACGCCUACGGGAGACAGCAGGGGGGAGUAUUGCACAAUGGGCGGAAGCCUGAUGCGGCAACGCCGCGUGCGGGAUGACGGCCUGCGGGUUGUGAACCGCUUUCGCCUGUGACGAAGCGUGAGUGACGGUAAUGGGUAAAGAAGCACCGGCUAACUACGUG